rnacentral:rRNA from 1 species
GGGUGCGAUAAUUACGACACUAACACUUUGGAUCCCACUCGAACUCCGCAGUUAAGCAUGUUUUGACGAGAGUAGCACUAGGAUGGGUUACCUCCUAGGAAGUCCUCAUGUUGCACCCC